rfam:Lepisosteus oculatus linkage group LG2, whole genome shotgun sequence.
AAUGGUUUGUGGUGGCUAUGCGGUCUAGCAUAGUUCUGUUUUGGAUCCUUCAAUGUCAUUCCUAUCAUUAUGAGGCAGAAUUCUCCAAAGUGUAGGAUUUUUCACCCACUAAUAGGAAACGUGAGCUGGGAUUAGACCAUCCUGACAUUAGGUU